rnacentral:rRNA from 1 species
UACGGGGGGAGCAAGCGUUGUUCGGAUUUACUGGGCGUAAAGGGCGCGUAGGCGGCCACCGCAAGUCGACUGUGAAAUCUCCGGGCUUAACCCGGAAAGGUCAACCGAUACUGCAGGGCUAGAGUGCAGAAGGGGCAACUGGAAUUCCCGGUGUAGCGGUGAAAUGCGCAGAUAUCGGGAGGAACACCAGUGGCGAAGGCGGUACUCUGGGCCGGAACUGACGCUGAGGAGCGAAAGCGUGGGUAGCGAACAGG